AGUGAGACCACGAACCCCCCAGGAGGAACAAACAACUCUGGACACGCCACCUUUAAGAGCUGUAACACUCACUGAAAACGUCUGCAGUUCUACUCCUGAAGUCAGCAAGAUCACGAACCCAUGAGAAGGAAGAAACUCCAGACACAUCUGAACAUCUGAAGGAACAAACUCCGGACACAACAUCUUUAUGAACUGUAACACUCACCGCAAGGGUCCACAGCUUCAUUCUUGAAGUCAGCAAGACCAGGAACCCACUGGAAGGAAUAAAUUCCAGACACAGUAGUGGCUAGUAUUUCAACAAACAUGAAAGCUGGGAGAACUAAUUGAUUUUGAAGAAGUAAAGGUGAAAAAAUGAAUAAGCCUUGCUUGGACAGCAUCCUGCUUUAAGAGUGUGUCAUGCAUUUAUAUUUGCUCCAACGCUUCUCCAGCACCAAGAAUGCCAGUAAAAGCCAACUGGGCAAGUAUGCAUGCCUGGAAGCAGGAGAAAUCUUGGAUAAUCCUCUACCAAGAGAGAACUAGAGUCAAUGAAAAAUAACCAACCACUUUGUUGAUCCAUCUUUGGGAAAUGGCAUUCUGUAUACACUUCAGAAGGUCCUGGACAGGAGCAAUCUCUAGUUGCCCACAGUGCUGACCUCUAUAACAUACAUUUAUGUUAAGUUUUCCUUUUUCUAUCAUUCCCCAAGGUCCUUCACUCCUGCAUCCUUGGAAUGCCUUCUGCACAUAAGUCCUUUUCUUAGGCUCUGCUUUCAUGAAGAAACUGAAGCUAAGACAAGACAUAUAAAUUAAGGCCAUAGUAAUAUUCCUCUAAGCACGUGUCACAAAGAGUUCAGCUAAAACCUAGAGUCGGUAAGAAUAUGAGACAAAAGUCUGAUACAAUGCUGAUGAGAAUGCACAUUAAUAUUUGCAUUUUAUAAAAGAGUUUAAUAUUAACUAUUACAAAGAUAAGCAUAUUUUUUUUUCCCAACAAAAUUUCUGGGCAUAUAUUCUAAAUGGCAUGUGGAGGAAUGUUCAUAGUGAUGUUUUUCAUGAUAACAAAACACAGUAAACUAAUCCAAAAAUGUCUCAACCAUGUAAUGAAAAAGUUUGAUAUAUCCAUACAUUGAAAUAUGACUGAAUAUAAAUGCACUAUAGUUACAUGAAAAAUGUAUGUAUAACUCUAAUAGACAUGUUCAACAAAAUAUGUCAGACAUAAUAGAAUAACAAUUUUUUUUUUUUUUGAGACAGAGUUUCACUCUAUCACCCAGGCUAGAGUGCAGUGGCACAGUCUCUGCUCACUGCAAGCUCUGUCUCCCGGGUUCAUGCCAUUAUCCCGCCUCAGCCUCCCCAGUAGCUGGGACUACAGGCACCUGCCACUGCACCCAGCUAGUUUUUUGUUUUUAGUAGAGACAGGGUUUCACCGUGUUAGCCAGGAUAGUCUCGAUCUCCUGACCUCAUGAUCCACCCGCCUCGGCCUCCCAAAGUGCUGGGAUUACAGGCGUGAACCACUGUGUCUGGCCUAGAAUAACAAUUUUAUAAUUCAAAGUAGAUAAAAUUUUAAAACAGGUAAAACUGAAUAAUUAUGUUUAUAUGGUGAAAUAUGAAGACAAGCAUGGGUCAACUUUUGGUUUUCAGUCCAUCAUAUAAGGAGCUUGGAAAUCAUUAUUCCAUCUUAAUAAGUAAGUACAAUGCUAAACAAACUGAAAAAUGAACAACUUUUUUCUUAGAUCCUUAAGGGAAGUGAGGUCACAAAGCAAAACACUGAUUCCAAAAAUUGAAUGAUAGACAGGCAGAUACACAGCAGAAACCCAGGAGGUGAAAACUUCUGGGAAUCAGUAUUAGAGUAGAAAAGUCUGAAAUGCAAUUGAUGAAUUUCUGGAGGCUCAGUGUGGACAAGUCUGAGAGGCAAAAUCUUUAGGGGAACCCAGUCAUGGGGGAGUCCCCACCCCUUUGUGAGUUUUACCUUCCACAGCUUGAUCAUAUCCUCACAGUGACUAUUGAAGAAAACACCCUCAUGAUUUCAGAAAGGGGUGGAAAAAAAUAACCAUUUUUGAAAUACACCAGAGUACUUUGUUCUUAAUAAGGCACGCCCUCAGGAGAAAUGAAAUAAAGACAGUUUAACCUGCCAGGGUUUUAUCAGAGCCUAAAUGACCUGGGGGAAGAGGAAGACUCAGCUCUAGCUCCUUCUAGAAUUCCAUGUGAGAGAAAAGAAAUAUUCAACUUCAGUAGAUUCUAGCCAUCCUGUCUCAAGCUAGCUCCUUCUAGAAUUCCAUGUGAGAGAAAAGAAAUAUUCAACUUCAGUAGAUUCUAGCCAUCCUGUCUCAAAUAAGGGGAGUGGGGGUUAUGAGAGGCACUUGUGCAUUUCACAGCCUAGACGCAUAGGCUUACUAAAAGGCUAAGACUUAAUUGUAGGACUAUAGAACACUUCCCCUCCCCCAGCACCUUACCACAACAUCACUAUUUAACAGUGUUCAUUUUACCCAGUACAUGAUGACCAACUACCAAGAAAAAAUUACCAGGCAUAGU